UCUAGGUCUCUGGAUUUGUCAGCCCUGCAGGCUUCUGGACACAUCUCCUCUCAGCCAUGAGGGGAUCAGAAGGAUUUAAUCUCUGUGUGCUCACCUGCAGCAUCCUGCUCUUGUCCUCCAGCCUGCCAUGCCUGGCUCAGCCUCUGGAGGAGGAGGAGGAGGAUGUGACAAAGGUCCAGCGUGGCCCCUGGGCAGGGAAUGGGCUGCAAGAUGAAAGGGCAGCCAUGGUGGGCUUGAAAAACAACCUGGGCCCUUCUGAGCAGACAGCUUCUGAGGAGCCCUGUGCAGUGUCAGCACUGCCAUCUGGAACACCCUUGGGUGGAGCUUUCACUGCAGGAGGAGAAGCCCUCCCUGAAGCUUUCACUGCAGGAGGAGAAGCCCUCCCUGAAGCUUUCACUGCAGGAGGAGAAGCCCUCCCUGCCAGCCCGAGCUAUGCUGUGCCCCACAGCCAGGGCCUGGUGGGUCCCCCCUCUGCUGGGGCAGUGCCUGCUGGCCAUGAGGAGGAGCUGGCUCCCACUGAGCCCCAGCUGCGUGAGGAUGAAGCCCUCAGGGCCAUGCUGACCACAGCUGUGACCACGCUGAGCCCUCCAGGCCAGGAGGAGUCUGGUGGCCCCGUUGGUGAGGCCACAACUGAGGGUGGGGUGGCAGUGGAGCCCAGCUCUGCUGGCCCCUCAGCAAACCCCCUUGCUGGGACCACUGAGGAGGAGGAGGAGGAAGCAGAGAGCAGCUCACAGCCCUCAGCUGUGCCCCAGCCCACGCUGAGCCCCAGCUCUCCCAGCUGGGAAGCAGCAAGUCACCUCCCUGUCAUCAUCCCGAGUCCCCAGGCUGCAGGUGUCACCUCUGGGCUGGGAACGGUGAGAGCCCACACAGGGAGCCCCCUGAAAGCCCUGGGUCCACCAACAUCUGUGGCUGCCAAACCUCCCCUUGUGGCAACUGAGGCCUUCCUUCAGCCAGAAGCUGGGACAGGUGUCACCCAACAGGAGCUGCCCUCUAUGCCUGGCACUGCCACCAUCCCCCCCAUGGACACUGUGCCACCUGACUGGGAUGACACCAAGCUGGGGGACAUCACUCAAGGGAGGAGCACAUCUCAUGAGGAGCUGGGGACAACAGAACCAUCCCAGACCAGCCAGGGAGGUGUGGGGGAGGAAGAGGAUGCCACCAGAGCAUUGCCCUCCCCAGUGUCCCCUCCAGCAGCGCCUGAGCUUGCCAAGGAGAGCAACUGCACAGAGCCAGUGCAAGGGGAGGAGCUGCCAGCACCUUCCCCAGGCAGCAGCAGCUCUGCUUCCCACCCUGGGAGCCUGUCAGAGGCAGGCACAGCUGAUCUUGGCUCGCUGGAAAACGUCAGUGCAGUGACAGCAGAGGAGGAGAAGAGCGUCCCUCCGUCACAGCCAGAGGCUGCUGUGCUGACAGAUACCCAGCCUGAGCUCUCUCCUACUCUGCAGAGUUCAUGGAAAGAUCUCACAGAUGGGAUCCUGGUCACCAGUGAGAAAGCUCUCCCAGCCCCUGGUGGGAUGUCUUCUACUCCAGCUGGACAGACAGAGGAGCCAGCCAGCAGAACUGUGGUCCUGGUGACCCCAUCAUCAGUGUCCCCCUCUGCCAGGAGGACAGCUGUCCCCUCUGCCAGGAGGACCAGCACAGCUGGCACCUACGGGCUGGAGCGCCUGGAGUCUGAAGGUACCCCUGGGCCCCAGGGGCAGGGGGGCUCCUGUGGGGUGCCAGCCCUGCCCUGACAGCCCCAG
ensembl:lncRNA